rnacentral:snoRNA from 1 species
AUCCCAUGAUGAGGAUAGGCAGUGAUGUAUUCCUGCUGCCUUUCCCAUGCUUCCGGGAUCGUUUCAUAUUUCGCCUGCUGGAAGCUGGAUAUUCUUCCACAAAGGGC